GGGCUAUUAGCUCAAUGGUAGAGCAGGCGCCUCUUAAGCGCAAGGUUUUCGGUUCGAGUCCGAAAUAGCCCA
rnacentral:tRNA from 1 species